rnacentral:rRNA from 1 species
UGGGGAAUAUUGGACAAUGGGCGCAAGCCUGAUCCAGCCAUGCCGCGUGAGUGAUGAAGGCCUUAGGGUUGUAAAGCUCUUUCACCGGUGAAGAUAAUGACGGUAACCGGAGAAGAAGCCCCGGCUAACUUCGUGCCAGCAGCCGCGGUAAUACGAAGGGGGCUAGCGUUGUUCGGAAUUACUGGGCGUAAAGCGCAUGUAGGCGGACAUUUAAGUCAGGGGUGAAAUCCCGGGGCUCAACCUCGGAACUGCCUUUGAUACUGGGUGUCUAGAGUGUGGAAGAGGUAAGUGGAAUUCCGAGUGUAGAGGUGAAAUUCGGAGAUAUUCGGAGGAACACCAGUGGCGAAGGCGGCUUACUGGUCCAUUACUGACGCUGAGGUGCGAAAGCGUGGGGAGCAAACAGG